GAUGCACUUGAAAUCAAAAUCACAGAAGGAAACAAAAAGAAAAUCUAUAUUUUCUGAAACGCACAAAAAGAAAAUCUUGGUAAUGAGCAAAGCAUGCAAGUAGAAUGACGGCGAAGGCCCCACCGUUGCUUGGCGUAUAAGUGAGCUCCACGUCAAAGUGGGCCCUACUUUUACCGGCUUCGCUCUCACGCAACUUACGAUCCGACGCAUGCGCCAUUCUUUUAAUUUCCUAAUCCCGUUCCAACUUUUGACUUUCUCCCUCAAUUAUUGAACCUUCAAUAAAUUUUCUUCUCAUUAUUUUCAUUUUUCAAAAGAAAAAAUAGUUCUCUUUAAAUAUCUUAUGAAAGGGUAGACAUAGAUGCUGGCUCUUCGAUGAACGCGGAAAGUUGCAUUAAAUCAAAAUGGCACCAGAGGUACCACAAAGAGAAGAACAGGAACAAGAAAGCAGAAAACAGAAAAUGGGAGCACGGACUGAACCCAACAGCCACCCCAAAACAAGCAAAGAGAAAAAAUAAAGAGAACCAAAGCCAGACGGAGAGAUGAAAGACGACAUCCAAACCCCAAGACACAACAAAAUCUCAGCAAGAGUCGACUCACUGCACCAAGGCUCAUGAGAAAAACUGGUCGGAACAGAGACAAGAACAGCGCCCCAAACCUUGUCACGCCAGAACAGUGUGGGCCGAAAACAACCGAGCAAAAACUAAGCAGAUAAGCAGGAGGCCAGAGAGAAAUCCG